rnacentral:lncRNA from 1 species
UAGUGGGGUCUGAGACAGCAGAACCGACCGAGGAGACCUUCAAUCCCAUGUCACAGCUGGCCCGCCGGGUUCAGGGGGUCGGGGUGAAAGGCUGGCUGACAAUGUCAUCUCUGUUUAACAAAGAAGAUGAAGAUAAGCUGCUGCCAUCAGAGCCUUGCGCUGACCAGUAUGUGCGUGUGUGUUUGUGGUGGUUCUGGAAGGGGCCUGAGGUCCCCCUUCUGCCUGGUCCUUUCCUUCUGGUUUGUUUGUCUUUCUAACCACUGAGGGCUGGGGAGGGGCAGUCCCAGGCUGUUUCUGUUUCUCUCAGCAGGAAACAGGCCAAAUCAGCAUAUCUGGGAGAUUAGGGUAAAUCUCAGGAGGAAUCGACCAGCUGUUGGGAUUGAGGUGCUAGAAGGUAUUUAUGGGCUCUCACGACCCAUCCGCUUGGGAGGGGCCAUCUCUCUAAAAUCCAAGAACGCAGAAUACCUUUAGGUGUUUGCAACAGCUGAUCCAACUCAAAGGUUCUCAAAUAUUGCCUAAACCCUCACCCUCCAAGGAAGCGUGUCACAAACAUAUUCUUGGACCCUCCUUCAGAGACUCCGAUUUCGCUGGUGUGGCAGAGUCUUGGGGAUCUAGCCAUGUUUUCAGCAAGCUCCCCCAGGGCCCUGCAGCUUGCAGCUUUGGGAACCACCGUCUGAGGUCUUUGAGGCCAAGGAUUAGCGGGUGGGACCUGGGACCUCAGUCUCCCUCCUGGCUCUAUCUCUGGCACAUUCUCCAUUUCUGCCUUUUCUCCAUCCUGAUCACAUCCC